UACGUAGGGUGCAAGCGUUGUCCGGAAUUAUUGGGCGUAAAGGGCGCGUAGGCGGUGCGGUAAGUCCGCAGUGAAAUCUCUGGGCUCAACUCAGAGUCUGCUGUGGAAACUGCCGUGCUUGAGUGUGGGAGAGGUGAGUGGAAUUCCCGGUGUAGCGGUGAAAUGCGUGGAUAUCGGGAGGAACACCUGUGGCGAAAGCGGCUCACUGGACCACAACUGACGCUGAGGCGCGAAAGCUAGGGGAGCAAACAGG
rnacentral:rRNA from 1 species